GAGGCUUUCCGCUUCACCUACCUGCCCAGGGACCACGAUGCCUACGGGGUGAACGUGAAGCGCAAGCGGGGGAUGCCCGACGUGCUCGAGGAGCUCUCGGGGGCAGAUCCGUAUGGGAUCGAAGCCAAGAGGAGGAAGAAGCCCCCCGGGUACCUGGAGCACUUUGUCCCGCUGCCGGCGGCAGGUGGGACCCCAAAACCCCCCAAA